rnacentral:tRNA from 1 species
GCGGUGGUGGUUCAGAAUUCUUGCCUUCCAUGCAAGACUCCUAGGUUCUAUUCCCAGCCAAUGCA